rnacentral:rRNA from 1 species
AGUGAACGCUGGCGGUAGGCCUAACACAUGCAAGUCGAACGGCAGCACAGUAAGAGCUUGCUCUUACGGGUGGCGAGUGGCGGACGGGUGAGGAAUACAUCGGAAUCUACUUUUUCGUGGGGGAUAACGUAGGGAAACUUACGCUAAUACCGCAUACGACCUACGGGUGAAAGCAGGGGAGCUUCGGACCUUGCGCGAUUGAAUGAGCCGAUGUCGGAUUAGCUAGUUGGCGGGGUAAAGGCCCACCAAGGCGACGAUCCGUAGCUGGUCUGAGAGGAUGAUCAGCCACACUGGAACUGAGACACGGUCCAGACUCCCACGGGAGGCAGCAGUGGGGAAUAUUGGACAAUGGGCGCAAGCCUGCUCCAGCCAUACCGCGUGGGUGAAGAAGGCCUUCGGGUUGUAAAGCCCUUUUGUUGGGAAAGAAAAGCAGCAGGUUAAUACCCCGCUGUUCUGACGGUACCCAAAGAAUAAGCGCCGGCUAACUUCGUG